rnacentral:rRNA from 1 species
CCUACGGGGUGCAGCAGUGGGGAAUAUUGGACAAUGGGCGAAAGCCUGAUCCAGCCAUGCCGCGUGUGUGAAGAAGGCCUUUGGGUUGUAAAGCACUUUCAGUGGGGAAGAAAGCCUUGGGGCUAAUACCCUCGAGGAAGGACAUCACCCACAGAAGAAGCACCGGCUAACUCCGUGCCAGCAGCCGCGGUAAUACGGAGGGUGCGAGCGUUAAUCGGAAUUACUGGGCGUAAAGCGCGCGUAGGCGGUCUGAUAAGCCGGUUGUGAAAGCCCCGGGCUCAACCUGGGAACGGCAUCCGGAACUGUCAGGCUAGAGUGCAGGAGAGGAAGGUAGAAUUCCCGGUGUAGCGGUGAAAUGCGUAGAUAUCGGGAGGAAUACCAGUGGCGAAGGCGGCCUUCUGGACUGACACUGACGCUGAGGUGCGAAAGCGUGGGUAGCAAACAGGAUUAGAUACCCCUGUAGUC